rnacentral:tRNA from 1 species
AGUGGAAUGCCUGAUAAAAAGGGCUAUUUUGAUAGAAUAGAUCAAGUGAAUCCCACUUCCAUUA